rnacentral:rRNA from 1 species
GACAGAGGGUGCAAACGUUGUUCGGAAUUACUGGGCGUAAAGCGCGUGUAGGCGGUUCGGAAAGUCGGAUGUGAAAGCCCUCGGCUUAACUGAGGAAGUGCACCCGAAACUGAGUAGCUAGAGUACUAAAGAGGGUCGCGGAAUUCCCGGUGUAGAGGUGAAAUUCGUAGAUAUCAGGAGGAACACCGGUGGCGAAGGCGGAUCUCUGGGCCUUACCUGACGCUGAGGCGCGAAAGCUAGGGGAGCAAACAGG